rnacentral:pre_miRNA from 1 species
GUGUGUGGUACCCUAUUCCCAGAGCACGGCAAUCAUUUAUAAUUGUGAUUGUCAUCUCUGUGAGUGGAGUAAUGCAUGA